rnacentral:rRNA from 1 species
AGCGAACGCUGGCGGCAGGCCUAACACAUGCAAGUCGAGCGGCCGUAGCAAUACGGCAGCGGCAGACGGGAUAGUAACACGUGGGAACGCGCCCUUCGGUUCGGAAUAACUCAGGGAAACUUGAGCUAAUACCGGAUACGCCCUUACGGGGAAAGAUUUAUUGCCGAAGGAACGGCCCGCGUCGGAUUAGCUAGUUGGUGAGGUAAUGGCUCACCAAGGCGACGAUCCGUAGCUGGUCUGAGAGGAUGACCAGCAUCACUGGGACUGAGACACGGCCCAGACUCCUACGGGAGGCAGCAGUGGGGAAUCUUGCGCAAUGGGCGAAAGCCUGACGCAGCGACGCCGCGUGAGGGAUGACGGCC